GCAAGUCGAGCGCGCCCUUCGGGGUGAGCGGCGGACGGGUGAGUAACGCGUGGGAAUAUGCCCUUCUCUAAGGAAUAGCCUCUGGAAACGGAGAGUAAUACCUUAUACGCCCUUUGGGGGAAAGAUUUAUCGGAGAAGGAUUAGCCCGCGUUAGAUUAGGUAGUUGGUGGGGUAAUGGCCUACCAAGUCUACGAUCAGUAGCUGGUUUUAGAGGAUGAUC
rnacentral:rRNA from 1 species